rnacentral:rRNA from 1 species
AUUAAAAAACGAGUUGCGAGACUCGAAAACCAUCGCGAACGUUACCUCGUCGUCGUUGCUUCGGCGGGUGGCCCCGCGAGGGCGCCCGCCGGAGGAGCGCAAACACUCUGUUUUCUUAGCGCCUCUCUGAGUGGAUACAGCGAAAUAAAUCAAAACUUUCAACAACGGAUCUCUUGGUUCUGGCAUCGAUGAAGAACGCAGCGAAAUGCGAUAAGUAAUGUGAAUUGCAGAAUUCAGUGAAUCAUCGAAUCUUUGAACGCACAUUGCGCCCGCUAGUAUUCUGGCGGGCAUGCCUGUUCGAGCGUCAUUUCAACCCCUCAAGCUCCGCUUGGUGCUGGGGCCCUACGUGCGCCGUAGGCCCCGAAUUACAGUGGCGGGCUCGCCGCGAUCCCGAGCGUAGUAACACACCUCGCUCUGGGGCUCCGCGGCGGGUGCCGGCCGUGAAAACGACCAACACAAACGCAAGGUUGACCUCGGAUCAGGUAGGAAUACCCGCUGAACUUAAGCAUAUCAAUAAGCGGAGGAAAAGAAACCAACAGGGAUUGCCCCAGUAACGGCGAGUGAAGCGGCAACAGCUCAAAUUUGAAAUCCGGCCUCGGCCCGAGUUGUAAUUUGCAGAGGAUGCUUUUGGUGCGGCGCCUACUGAGUCCCCUGGAACGGGGCGCCAGAGAGGGUGAGAGCCCCGUAUAGUAGGACGCCUAGCCUGUGUAAAGCUCCUUCGACGAGUCGAGUAGUUUGGGAUGCUGCUCAAACGGGAGGUAA